UUCGAGCAGGUAUUGUUAGAAUAUAAGUAGGAUUAUAUAUACUAUUCCUAUUAGAAUGGUGGUCCAAGUUUUGCUAACAUAAUUAUUGGCCAGACGGGCAGCAUAUAUGGGUAAUAGCCGCUUGUCGGCAGCGGAAGCUCUUUGAUUCUCUACCAAGAUCGUAGAGGCUAUGACUCCAUGUGAGAAAUAUCAGAGAUCAUUUUAGAUUUAAGAAAAUAAAGCAACUAGAGACAGCGAUAUGAAAGAAAGACAAAAGGGAACUGAAGGAAUUUCCACACCCAAUAAUUUUCCUUCCUUUUGCUUUCAUCCCCAGAAGAAUUCAUGCAGCCUGUGAUAUUCUACGUUGCUCGGACUCUUCAAAAAUGUCAGCGGGUGCGUGUCGGUUUCGCCAAAAGUAGUCUUUGGAGAAUUUGACACGGGUGCGGCAUCAAAAGUGAAGAGUCCGCGCAACUUAGGUGAAAAUCACUAAUUGGCAGCUCUAAGCAAUCAGCAGAAACUUACAUGCUUCUCUUCCUGCUCAUUCUGAGACUGAAGAUCACGCUGAGUCUUCUCAGCCAAAGCCUUGGCCUGACACAUAAAGAAAAAGAAUCAGAUACGGUAAAGAGUAACCCAAUGCAACUACUUCACUUCAAAAUAACACCACGGAAUAGCAUUUCCAUUCUUUUAUAUAUGUACACCCUGGAAGCAUUCUGAGAUGCAAAUAACAACUGGACUAGAAGUCAGAUUUGUCAUCACCUAAACUUCGGGAUUUGGGAUAUGAAUAGAAGUAUGGUUACAGACUUACCAGUGCUCAGGUACGGCUAAUAUAGUAAUAUUUAUGUUCAACUCCUAAAACAUAGAGCUGUAAAAAAUGUAGCAACAAAUAUCGAGAAGACUGAAGUGAUUAAUUACACUCCACUUGAUUUCUCCAAGUGAGCUCAUUUUUUACUUGCCUAUUUCAAGUGGUUUUCUGUUUUCCUAAACUCAAAAUACAGAUACUGAACUUCUUUCCAUAAAGAAAAAUGAACUUCCUUGAGCCUGUGGUGGCUUCUACAGCGUAAACCCAAUAAAAUAUAAAAGUGUGCACGAUUGUCAGGGGAUGUGGAUCAAGUUGGCUGAAGAAACCUUUUUUAACCAAAACAACAGCCGACACCAAGUCCAAAAGAAGGGCAUAUCUACUCCAGUUCGACACUUUCCAAUCUGAAGCCCCCACAUAAAAACUCUCCUCGUAUUUCUAUUCAUCUUCCUAGCUCUUCUUUCUCAGGAAGGUUUCACGAUUCUUUCGCCUCAAAAACAAAAUACUCCUCAUACAGAAUUUCUUUGUUCUUCUCUCUCACUAUUUAAUCGUCAUGCUGACUAAAGCCUCUUCUUCCUUUCCUUCUGUUAAAUUCUUUGUCACUGAGUUGUGGCUUAGCUACCUUCAAGGAUGAGCAAGCCAUGAAGGAAGCGAUUGAGGGAUAGAUGGCCAAAUAGACGACAACAAUGGACCAGGUUUGUACUUUUUGUUCUCUCGUCAUCUUCUUCUCCCAUUAGUCAUCCUUUCAUUUGCAACUCAAUGCCAGUUGAGGAUCCUCAAGAUAAUGAAGGGAUAUUAUUUGAAUCCCGUUCAAGCACUGGUGUAAUGUGGAUGAACACCGUUUCAAGAGAGGAAACUAAGGAUCCGUGUAACAUAGCAAACAACUCAAACAUAUCAAAGGAAAGUAAAUAUCACAUUGGCAAAUUUCCACAAUGGAAUUCCAACUGAUAGUUAAAGCCCAUAUCGAUACUCUAUAUUACACCAAAAUGAGAAGGUCGAGGUCAGAUGUUUGGGGAAAAUGUAUUUUUUUGAAAAAUCUAUUUAAUAUGUACGGCGUACAAAUUUAGAACCAGCACCUUCAAAGGGCUAGAACCCAAAACCAAUGAACUUUAAAUCUUGAAUCCGCCUUUAGAAAAGGUAAUACAAAAGCUGCACAAGAAACAGAAGGAACCAAUCUUGAGGAUUUACCCCAUUAAAUAAGAGACCUUGCUUGCAUUGUUUUAGAAUGAUCAUUUGUAAAUUACACACUGAACUUGGAACAUCUCUCACUUUCCCAACCAACUCUAAAGAAAUGCUUAACUUUUUUCUUUUCUGCACUACAAGUCCCAAAGGAAGAUACAACCAUUAGACAUCAAGUUGUCAAUGUGUUGUAGUACUUGACGAACGUUGUUUCCUCCGUCCCUCCAGGCUCUAACUCUCCCUCUCUCUAAUUUAAAGUUUGAUAGAAUGCAUUAAAGAGAAAAAUAAAACCCCGAAUCUAAGGGUAAAAUGAUAGUUAAGGAGAUACAUCACAAACCAAACUCACCCGGCCAGGAGUUCUUCACACUGCCUUUUCUAAUGCAUCUGGUACAUCUUUAAAGCCUCUCAGUUAAAUGAUAACUCAAGCAAACAUUUGACCAACUCAUAUACAGAUUUUUCUUUUCUUAAUGUAGCUGAAUUUUUCAAAUAGCCACACAUCAAAACUAACUUAAAAACCAUUCACUUUCAGUAGAAUCAAGGUUGAAUUAAUGCAUCUAAAAGUAGGAAGGCCAUUGCAAGUUAUGCAUACAUGCUAGCACAAUACUCAUCCAACAAUAAGAAGGUUAUUGCAAG
rnacentral:lncRNA from 1 species